UACGUAGGGGGCAAGCGUUUGUUCGGAAUUACUGGGCGUAAAGGGCGCGUAGGCGGCACGGCAAGUCAGGAGUGAAAGCCCUGGGCUCAACCCGGGAACUGCUUUUGAAACUGCCGAGCUAGAGUGCGGAAGGGGCAACUGGAAUUCUCGGUGUAGCGGUGAAAUGCGUAGAUAUCGAGAGGAACACCUGCGGCGAAGGCGGGUAGCUGGGCCGACACUGACGCUGAUGCGCGAAAGCCAGGGGAGCGAACGGG
rnacentral:rRNA from 1 species